rnacentral:rRNA from 1 species
UAAGGAAUAUUGGACAAUGGAGGCAACUCUGAUCCAGCCAUGCCGCGUGAAGGAAUAAGGCCCUAUGGGUUGUAAACUUCUUUUAGACGGGACAAAACCCCUUUACGUGUAAAGGGUUGAUGGUACUGUCAGAAUAAGCAUCGGCUAACUUCGUACCAGCAGCCGCGGUAAUACGAAGGAUGCAAGCGUUAUCCGGAAUUAUUGGGUUUAAAGGGUGCGUAGGCGGACUAAUAAGUCAGUGGUGAAAGCCUGCAGCUUAACUGCAGAAUUGCCAUUGAUACUGUUAGGCUUGAGUACAGUUGAGGUAGGCGGAAUGUGUCAUGUAGCGGUGAAAUGCUUAGAUAUGACACAGAACACCGAUUGCGAAGGCAGCUUGCUAAGCUGUAACUGACGCUGAGGCACGAAAGCGUGGGGAGCAAACA